rnacentral:tRNA from 1 species
CGUUAAGAAGCUUAAGGUAAGCGACAGCCUUUUAAGCUGUAGAUAGGUGGUCAAUCCCACCCUUAAUGA